GCCUUCCUAGCUCAGUGGUAGAGCGCGUCACUAGUAACGCUAGUCUCAAUAUGGGCUGCGCUAGUCCCAAUCAGGACGUCACGUGAUGACGAGGUCGUCAGUUCAAUUCUGGCGGAAGGCA